rnacentral:rRNA from 1 species
AUGGGAAGGCUGGCCGUUGCCGCCGCGGUGGCCGCAUGGGCUAUCCCGAUCGCCGCCUUGGUUGACUCCAUCGUGCCUGACCCCUACAUGGAUGAGAUAUUCCAUGUUCCCCAGGCGCAGCAAUAUUGCCGUGGAGAUUUCUUAACGUGGGAUCCCAUGAUCACCACCCCUCCUGGCCUGUACUACAUUUCUCUAGCAUAUGUUGCUUCUCUGUUCCCUAGUGCAUGGGCUAUUAAGGUAGCAGAGGCAUUUGACCCCCUUUGCACCACGGCACUUCUCCGGUCCACUAAUGUUAUAAUGGCAAUGGUCUGCGGUAUUCUUGUCCAUGACCUGCUUCUGUGUAUCAAGCCAGGAAUUGGCAAGACGAAGGCAACUGCUUAUGCUAUUCUUGUAGCGUUGUAUCCUGUUCACUGGUUCUUUACCUUUCUGUAUUAUACUGAUGUCGCAUCAUUAGCUGCAGUUCUUGCGAUGUACCUGUCCUGCUUGAAGAAACGGUUUUGGGUCAGCGCACUGUUCGGUGCUCUCUCAAUACUUUUCCGGCAGACUAAUGUAAUAUGGAUGAUAUUUUUUGCUGCCAAUGGAGCCAUUGCAUAUGUACAAGAUCUUUCUCUCAGUGACUGCCUUUCUGAUGAGAACAGUGAACCAACAAAUAAGUCAAGAACAGAAGUGUCUGACAGGGAUAGCAAAGUAAGUGCUUUAGGUUUGAGAAGACGACGAACUAAUCACCCCAUAAGUAAGAGGGGAGUUGUUUCUGGAUCUACUAAAUUGCACACCAGUUUUACAGAAGAACUAUUCGACAUUGGCUUCAAGUUAUGGAAUUCAAAGUGUAAAGUUUUAAUCACUUUUGCACCAUUCGCAAUAGUUCUGGUGGUAUUUGUAGCAUUUAUAAUCUGGAAUGGUGGCAUAGUACUAGGUGCCAAGGAAGCUCAUGUUGUUUCACCACAUUUUGCACAGUUAUUGUACUUUGGUCUAGUGUCAGCUACUGCCCUCCUACCGUGGCAUUUUACUCCCGGACGAGUAUCAGACUUAUUCCACUGGUGUAGAAAGAACAAAACCUUUAGUUCUCUGGCAAUGCUGAUAGCUCUUGGUUUAGGCUUUGGGGCUGUACAUUUAUUCAGCAUUGCUCAUCCGUAUCUUUUGGCUGACAAUAGACAUUACACCUUCUAUAUCUGGAGGAAGGUCAUCCAAGCUCACUGGAUGAUGAAAUACAUUUUGGUUCCACUCUAUAUGUACUCAUGGUUUUCAGUCAUCAACAUCUUAGGUGAACUUCUUCAUUUAAUUUUAGAAAAGGUUGUCAAUUUUGAGAAGUAUAAUGAACUGAAACUUCUGUUGUUUUUUCUGAUCUUUACAGGGAAAUCGCAGCCAAGAGUUUGGGUGGUGUCCUUUGUUUUCUCAGUUGCGUUGGUUCUCGUCCCUGCCCCGUUGGUCGAAUUUAGAUACUACACAAUCCCAUUGGUCAUACUGGUGCUCAAUUCCCCGGUCAUCAGUAAUGGCAAAUUGCUUGCUUUGGGGUCUGCAUAUGCUGCUGUGGAUUUGUUCACUCUGGUGAUGUUUCUGUCCAGACCAUUCCAUUGGGGCCAUGAGCCGGGAACACAAAGGUUCAUGUGGUAG